rnacentral:rRNA from 1 species
GACGAACGCUGGCGGCGUGCUUAACACAUGCAAGUCGAACGGACAGGCCCUGCUUUUGUUGUGUGCUUGAUUGGCGAACGGGUGAGUAACACGUGUGUAACCUGCCCUUGACUUUGGGAUAACUUCAGGGAACUGGGGCUAAUACCCCGUAGAAUCUCCUGCUCCGUGGGGGGGGUUGGUAAGUUUCGGCGGUGUUGGAUGGACUCGCAGGUUACGCGCUUGUUGGGGGGGUAGUGACUUACGAAGGCUAUGAGGGGUAGCCGGCCUAGGAGGGUGACCGGGGACAUUGGUCCUGCGAGAGGGAGCAGACGGGUACGGGAGGCAGCAGGGGGGAAUAUGGCAGAAUGGGCGGAAGCGUGAGGCAGCAACGUCGCGAGCGGAAUGACGGCCUAUGGGUGGUAAACCGCUUUGGCCUGUGACGAAGCGUGAGUGACGGUAAUGGGUAAAGAAGCACCGGCUAACUACGUG